GACGAACGCUGGCGGCGUGCUUAACACAUGCAAGUCGAACGAAGUGGCGAACGGGUGAGUAACGCGUAAUCAACCUGCCCUUCAGAGGGGGAUAACAGUUGGAAACGACUGCUAAUACCGCAUACUGAAGGAGGGGAUUGCGUUUGAUUAGCUAGUUGGAGGGGUAACGGCCCACCAAGGCGAUGAUCAGUAGGCGGGCUGAGUGGAUGAACGGCCACAUUGGGACUUAGACACGGCCCAGACUCCUCCGGGAGGCAGCAGUGGGGAAACAUCGGCAAUGGACGAAAGUCCGACGGAGCAACGGCGCGGGAGGGAUGACGGCCUUCGGGGUGUAAAGCUCUGUUAAGCGGGACGCGGUACCGGAAUAGAAAGCCACGGCUAACUACGUGCCAGCAGCCGCGGUAAUAC
rnacentral:rRNA from 1 species